rnacentral:misc_RNA from 1 species
UCCGGUUUGGCACCGGCAGUCCUCCCAGAGUCCUCAGCUUGACCUGGUAGCAACUGGGAGCGGGGGUUGCGCUCGUUGCGGGACUUAACCCAACAUCUCACGACACGAGCUGACGACAACCAUGCACCACCUGUGAACCAGCCCCAAAGGGGAAACCACAUUUCUGCGGCGGUCCAGUCCAUGUCAAGCCUUGGUAAGGUUCUUCGCGUUGCAUCGAAUUAAUCCGCAUGCUCCGCCGCUUGUGCGGGCCCCCGUCAAUUCCUUUGAGUUUUAGCCUCGCGGCCGUACUCCCCAGGCGGGGCGCUUAAUGCGUUAGCUGAGGCACAGAGAACCGGAGAGGCCCCCCACACCUAGCGCCCAACGUUUACAGCGUGGACUAC